UAGUGCGCAGGAUGAAAAAGCAGAAGGUAGCGAUCAAUUACUUUUCUGGGAGGCUACUGCGUAACUGGCUAAGUUCGGCAUUGUUUGGGGGGGGGGGGGCGGCAUUUACAGGUGUUUAAGGAAGACAAAAGU